AGGCAGCCUGUGUGCUAUUCAGUGAGCGGGUUUCUUUUCUAGCAUUAUACUAAACAUUGUUCAUCGCUUGACAAGUUUGAGCCUACAUGAAGCAUCCCCUGGGCAGCAGGGCUGCGUGGUGGAGCAGCAGAACAUGCCUGGAAAGCAAAUCAUGAACCUUCUGACUUCACAGUCCCAAGGAUUUAGAGGCACAAGGAUGAACUGGUGCCAGCAGCAAGAUGGAGCUGAUGCCAGCAGGCCAGGGCUGCGCCAGCCUCUUCUUGCUCCACUAUCCAUGGAUUUAGCCCAGGCAAGUCACCUAGCUCCCAAGAUGGUCCUUAUCUGUGCAGGGCAGUGAGUCAGCAGUGAACUGCACAAAGGGGCUGUUCACCUCUGUUGGGCUGCGUGCAGGCCUGCUUUGGGAAGGAACUGGUUCCCUUCUCCUGCAGAGCUGCCUUGUUAAAGCAGAGCAGAAAAGGAAAGCCAAGUCAAGAGACCAGCCCAUCUCUGAACAUCCCAUGGAGCUGCAGGAGGCUGUCGAGGAAAGCCAGACCAUGACAAACGUGCACCUUCUCUCCAGAGUAGAGACUGACAGAUGAAGAUUAAUGAAAAGUAAUAUCCAAAUCCUAUGACUUGUAAUUCAUUCCAAAACACACGUAAUGUCAUGACGCAGGAAAUCACUGUACAAAAAGCUUUAAACACCCCACCCUAUUUUGCAAUAGGACGCGUAAGACUAACUCACUUCCCUAUAAACUUUCCAGAGUGUAAGC
rnacentral:lncRNA from 7 species